UGGGGAAUUUUUCACAAUGGGGGAAACCCUGAUGCAGCGACGCCGCGUGAUUUAGAAGGCCUUCGGGUUGUAAAAAUCUUUUUUAUGGGAUGAAAAUGACAGUACCAUAAGAAUAAGGUCCGGCUAAAUACGUGCCAGCAGCCGCGGUAAUACGUAUGGACCGAGCGUUGUCCGGAAUCAUUGGGCGUAAAGGGUACGUAGGCGGCCCAGUAAGUUAGAAGUGAAAUAAUAUAGCUCAACUAUAUAAAGCUUUUAAAACUGCUAGGCUUGAGAGAUGGAAGGGAAAGUGGAAUUCCUAGUGUAGCGGUGAAAUGCGCAGAUAUUAGGAAGAAUACCGGUGGCGAAGGCGACUUUCUGGUCAUCAUCUGACGCUGAGGUACGAAAGCGUGGGUAGCAAACAGG
rnacentral:rRNA from 1 species